rnacentral:rRNA from 1 species
UACGUAGGGGGCAAGCGUUGUCCGGAAUCAUUGGGCGUAAAGAGCGCGUAGGCGGCCCGAUAAGUCCGCUGUGAAAGUCAAGGGCUCAACCCUUGAAUGCCGGUGGAUACUGUCGGGCUAGAGUCCGGAAGAGGCGAGUGGAAUUCCUGGUGAAGCGGUGAAAUGCGCAGAUAUCAGGAGGAACACCAAUGGCGAAGGCAGCUCGCUGGGACGGUACUGACGCUGAGGCGCGAAAGCGUGGGGAGCAAACAGG